GAAAGCAUACUUCAAAUGUGCACAUGAAUGCUUUGAUAGGACAAGAAGGCAGACUGAAUUGGAAGGCGAGGCAGAGGCUUAUUCAUUAGGUGAAAUAUUCAAAUGCUCAUGCUUUCUUUUACUUUUGAGAUAGAAAAACUAGUAUGUGUUCCAUAUGUCACAUGUAUAGGCAUUCCUUCGGUUGCAAAUCCGCCUCCAUCACAUUCUUGGUCUUAGGUGCAAAGCUCUUAUAUCCAGAAACUGCAAUCCUCACUGCAGCCAAUAUCACUGAAAAGUUAACCAACAGAAAUUAUGCAAUUAGACUUGUUUAUCCACGGCAGUUCAAAAUUAUGCACUAGGGACCUGAUCCCCUGUACAUCGCUGACUGAUCUAAUCCUCACUUGAUCAGUCCUAUCAUUAUUUUUUCAUUCUCUCUUUUCUUUGUCAUUAACCAAUAAAAGGCUACCUUGUGGUUUUUUCCAUAUCUCAGAUGUAUACUGGGGGACUGAUCUCUUUAUACAUAGCCAAUGGUAUCGCAAACUGCCUUCAAAAAUCCCAUGGUGACCCAGUUCAUCCUAAUUUCACACAAAUAAGGCAAAUCAAUAUCAUAACACAAAUAAUCAAGCAAUGUAUUCAACACAAACUGCACCAAAUUAAUAAUUAAACUGCAAACAUAAAGAUAUAAUUAUGAUAUAUAAUUAUAUAUUAACAAUAAAAUUCUAAUAUAGAAAUGAUUAUUAAAUUAAUAUUUAUACAUUUUUUUAUAUGGUAAUUAAUUAAUGUAUGUUAAUGAUAGUAUGCACUAUUUAUUAUUACUCACAGUGAUUGGAAAAAACACAAUUUUACUCUUGGUUCAAGCUUGGAGAAGCCGAGAAGAGACCUAGACGAUCUAAAAGUGAUAACAGAAUUAAGAGAAAAGCUUCCAUUAGAAUUUAGAUUUAACUUACUUAGUUUAAGCCGCUAGCUAAACAUAAAAUUAUGGAGAUUUUGUUGAAAAUACUGUAAAUUUUCCCCUAAAAAUUAGACUUAACCACUUGUUUAUUGUCUAUAAAUAAUAUAUAAAGCUCGUCCAUCGGGCAAAUUCUUAUCAAUUAAACUCAUCCGUCAUUUACGACAUUUAUCAAAAUCUCAUCCUCAAUAUCCAAUCACGUGAUUUAAUUUAUAUUAAGCUAUUCAAAUACUCUAAUUUUUUGCUAUUUAAUUAUAUCUAUUUUAAUACUUAGCUAAUCAAACCAUAAAGGCUAAAAUGUUCUGUUAAUAUUAAAUUCACAUAAAUAAUUCAAUUUGUCAUUACCAAAAUAAGUUUACUUCACUAACCUACUAGAUUAAAUUUCUAAGAUUAUAAAACUCAAAUUUAAUACUCUUUCUGUUUCGAUUUUAAAGUCGAAUUUUUAAAUUUACGUCAAGUAGUAAUUCGAAGGCCAAGUGUGCUUGGAUUGCAAAACUAGUUAUAUAUUUGCACUCUACAAGAAAAAUACCAUAUUCUACCUCUUAGGAACUCCGGUCACUAAAGCCACCAUAGGUUGUCGUCGCCUCCACCGUUCACGGUUGUCGAGGCAGAGGCAGGUCCCAAAUUUUGCAACUCAUGUCUCAUUUUGCUCCAAAUUUUAUGUAGCUUACAUUUCUAUAAUCAGUUUAUACCAAUUAUAGAAUUGUUUGCAGGGUAUCAAAAAGAGGCUAAAAGAAGCAGGGACCAACUGGAUCAAGGAGUUGAAUAGCGUCCUAUGGUCUUAUCGAACCACUGCUAGAAGUUCCACAGGCGAGACACCAUUCUCUCAUGUAUAUGGUGUAGAAGCGGUCAUAUAAGUUGGAAUUAGAAUGCCAAGCAGAAGGGUGCAAUCUUAGCGAAGAUGACAACUCUGAGUCUUUAAGAAACGAGGCAUCAAUUAAGGCAGUCGCUCAGCAACAGCAAAUGGCAAAAUACCACAACCGAAGGGUCAUGAAAAGAACGUUUGUAAUAGGAGACCGAGUAUGGAAGAAAAAUAAAAUAAAAACAGGAUCAAGUGGUAGGCAAGCUGAGCCUAAAUUGGGAAGUCCCCUUCGAGAUUACACAAAAAUGGGACCGAGCACAUUCAAAAUCAAACCCCUAAACGGAUUAGAGCUUCCUCGGAUUUGGAAUUUAGAUAACUUAAAGCAUUGUUUCUUGUAAAUACAUAUGGAGACAUUAGAUAAAAGUCAUGUUUUUUUUUUACUUAACUUUGCAAAGCCCCAUAGGACCAGGGUGUACUUAGGUGACCCAGGGGACUCGGGAGUAUAACAUAUAGAGGCCCUGCAAAGUUAAGUUUUUU
rnacentral:lncRNA from 1 species